rnacentral:ncRNA from 1 species
CCUGAUGUUCCGUCAUCAGUAGCCUACCGGCACAUGCAGGACGGGUAACUGACUUGUGUGAAGCUGCCGGGACAACGUAGCUGGCCUUUUUUUUGGGGCUACCUUUGAACCGUGAGGUCAGGGGGAUAUCUGCAAGCAUCAUGCGGAUACGGCG